GAUGAACGCUGGCGGCGUGCCUAACACAUGCAAGUCGAGCGAUCGGACUCGAAUCUUGCUUCUCUUAUGUUAGCGGCGGACGGGUGAGUCACACGUAGCUUACCUUCCUCUAAGACUUGGAUAACUUCGAGAAACCGGAGCUACUACCAGAUAAUCUUUUGAACCGCAUGGUUCAAAAGUGAAUGACGGUCUUUCUGUCACUUCUCGAUGUAUCCGCUCUGCAUUAGCUAGUUGGUAAGGUAACGGCUUACCAAGGCAACGAUGCAUAGCCGACCUGAGAGGCGGAUCGCCCACACGGGAACUGAGACAGGGUCAAGACGCCUAAGGGAGGCAGCAGAAGGGAAUGUGAGGCAAUAGGCGAAAGCAUGACGGAACAGGCGAACGUGUGAGGUGAAGGUGUUGGGAUAGUAAAAAUCGGUUAUGAGGGAAGAACAUAUGUGAAAAGAAAUGAACAGAAAGUGACGGUACCUAAUGAGAAAGCAACGGCUAACUACGUG
rnacentral:rRNA from 1 species